rnacentral:lncRNA from 1 species
UUUGUCUAGUCAUGUCGAAGAAGAAGAAGAAGAAGAAGAAGAAGAAGAAGAAGAAGAAGAAGAAGAAGAAGAAGAAGAAGAAGAAGACGACACGUGCUCUAUGUGCUUUCUGCCUUGGCUGUCCCAGGAAAAACUCUAGAACAAGCUGACAUCAAACUCAGAGAUCUGCUGCCUCUGCCUUCCAAAGGAUGGGAUUAAAGCCAUACAUUCCUAAAAGCCGCAGGAGACCGAUUGACCGAGUGUUCUUUCUCAUUGUGGACGAUGUACUUGAAGGUGUCUAGCCUAAGCUUAGAUGUCCUUCUCUCUGGU